rnacentral:rRNA from 1 species
CCGGAAAGAAAACGNUCUGGNUAAUACCUGGGGCGGAUGACGGUACCGGAAGAAUAAGCACCGGCUAACUACGUGCCAGCAGCCGCGGUAAUACGUAGGGUGCGAGCGUUAAUCGGAAUUACUGGGCGUAAAGCGUGCGCAGGCGGUUUUGUAAGACAGGCGUGAAAUCCCCGAGCUCAACUUGGGAAUUGCGCUUGUGACUGCAAGGCUAGAGUAUGUCAGAGGGGGGUAGAAUUCCACGUGUAGCAGUGAAAUGCGUANAGAUGUGGAGGAAUACCGAUGGCGAAGGCAGCCCCCUGGGACGUCACUGACGCUCAUGCACGAAAGCGUGGGGAGCAAACAGGAUUAGAUACCCUGGUAGUCCACGCCCUAAACGAUGUCAACUAGUUGUUGGGGAUUCAUUUCUUCAGUAACGUAGCUAACGCGUGAAGUUGACCGCCUGGGGAGUACGGUCGCAAGAUU